rnacentral:rRNA from 1 species
AUUGAACGCUGGCGGCAGGCCUAACACAUGCAAGUCGAACGGUAGCACAGAGAGCUUGCUCUCGGGUGGCGAGUGGCGGACGGGUGAGUAAUGUCUGGGAAACUGCCCGAUGGAGGGGGAUAACUACUGGAAACAGUAGCUAAUACCGCAUAACGUCGCAAGACCAAAGUGGGGGACCUUCGGGCCCCACACCAUCGGAUGUGCCCAGAUGGGAUUAGCUAGUAGGUGGGGUAAUGGCUCACCUAGGCGACGAUCCCUAGCUGGUCUGAGAGGAUGACCAGCCACACUGGAACUGAGACACGGUCCAGACUCCUACGGGAGGCAGCAGUGGGGAAUAUUGCACAAUGGGCGCAAGCCUGAUGCAGCCAUGCCGCGUGUAUGAAGAAGGCCUUCGGGUUGUAAAGUACUUUCAGCGGGGAGGAAGGCGGUGAAGUUAAUAACUUCACCGAUUGACGUUACCCGCAGAAGAAGCACCGGCUAACUCCGUGCCAGCCGCCGCAGUAA